rnacentral:rRNA from 1 species
AUGGAUCCGGCCGUCCUUGAGCACCGGCGCGAGCCCCGUGCUCGUCUGCUUCCGCCGCGGCACGGCCUGCAGGAGACGGCAACGCUGCCGAUCCCCAACGAGCUCGUGGCGGAGAUCUUCCUCCGGCUGCCCACCCCAGCCGAUCUGGUCCGCGCCUCCGCCGCCUGCGCCUCGUUCUACCGUCUCGUCGCCAGCCGCACCUUCCUCCGGCGUUUCCGCAAGCUCCACCGCCCGCCCCUCCUCGGCUUCGUCGAUGGCCGAAUCUUCCACCCCGUGAUCCCGCCUUAUCCUUCCGCCCCCGCAGCCAACGCCGUCGCCCUCGCCGCCGACUUCUCCUUCUCCUUCCUACCCGGCCCCGCCCGCGACUGGGAGGUCCUGGACAUCCGCGACGGCCGCGUCCUCCUUAAGAGGCCCGGCCGGCAGUACCAUGAAAUGGUGGUGUGUGACCCCUUGUACCGGCGGUACCUCCUGCUUCCCCCAUUCCCCGACGAGCAAGCCGCUUCAUUGGAGGACCCAUCCACGAUAAAAUGGUACGAAACCUUCCUUGUACCAGCCGGCGACGAGGAGGCAGCAACUGUGGAAGAGACGUCAUUCAGAGUUAUCUGGAUGGCGCAGUGCAAAUUCAGACUGUUCACCUUUGUCUUCUCUUCUAGCACUGGACAAUGGGGAGUUGUUCCAUCCCCGAGUUGGAGUGAUUUAUUUGCUGGCUUGCCAAGUUUGGAGAUGGCUACACCUCUCAACACACGCCAGUAUGCGUAUGGCUGCUUUUACUGGAUGGCGGGCUACAUGGCAGAAGCUAAAAUGCUGGUGCUGGACACCCGGAGGAUGGAGUUCUCCAUUGCUGAACCCCCACCUGACGGUUUCGCUAUGGCCAUGGUGGAGGCUGGGGAAGGCAGGCCUGGGGUGUUCGUGAAUCCUCAUGGGGGAUCCAAGUUCCGUUAUAGCACUAUGCAAAAUGAUGGUGGGAGUUUGAGCCAGUGGCAGGAGGAGAAAACAAUAUCAUUGGGUUAUGGGUACUACAUCAUUGGUUCAACGGAGAGGUACUUGUUCUUGUAUCAGCUGCAGAGCCCAUUACCUAAUCCAGGUGUUUUCACGCUGGAUGUCCAAACAUUCCAGCUCGAGAGAGUGUGUGAUCAACACUUGGGCCACGCAUAUAGCAACUUCCCACCAUCGUUGUUGUCGUCACCGACAGUAUCAAGCGAUGCUGAGCCACACCGCUUGAUCUCCUGUAUAUGA